AACGAACGCUGGCGGCAGGCUUAACACAUGCAAGUCGAGCGCCCCGCAAGGGGAGCGGCAGACGGGUGAGUAGCGCGUGGGAAUCUACCCAUCUCUACGGAAUAACGCAUGGAAACGUGUGCUAAUACCGUAUACGUCCUUCGGGAGAAAGAUUUAUCGGAGAUGGAUGAGCCCGCGUUGGAUUAGCUAGUUGGUGGGGUAAAGGCCUACCAAGGCGACGAUCCAUGGCUGGUCUGAGAGGAUGAUCAGCCACACUGGGACUGAGACACGGCCCAGACUCCUACGGGAGGCAGCAGUGGGGAAUAUUGGACAAUGGGCGCAAGCCUGAUCCAGCCAUGCCGCGUGAGUGAUGAAGGCCCUAGGGUUGUAAAGCUCUCUCACCGGUGAAGAUAAUGACGGUAACCGGAGAAGAAGCCCCGGCUAACUUCGUGCCAGCCGCCGCCGUAAGAC
rnacentral:rRNA from 1 species